UUCUCUCUCUAAUGUGGACGCAGCAGCAACUUGUACAACCAGUGCCACCUUUGAAACUCUUCCACUCAUUUCAACCAUCAAAUCAUGCAAAAAUUCAAUCUUUAUCAAAAUUAAAUUCAACCCAAAGUCUAAAAACCGCAUUAACUUUGGAAGAACUUCCUCCAAAUGCGCUUCGGAGGAAGAAAGAUGCAGAAUGGAGAGGAGGGUUCUCUCUUGGUGUCGACUUAGGAAUGGCUCGUACUGGCAUUGCUCUCAACAAAUGAUUCACUUUUCGCCAUUUAACGGUAACACUUUUUACUUUCUUUUGCUUUUUCUAAUCUAUGUUAUUAUGUUUGUUUUGUUGUUUUUUCUGGGUAAUCGUCAUUGUGGCUACUCGUUAUACAUUCAGGGAUCAAAAUGACUGUUACCCUGUUGUUUUUUAGUUUUAGUUGAAAAUUUUAAUCAAUUAGGGAUGUGAUUUGGUACUAUCUUGUUGUUUGUUUGUCCAUUUUGUAAACACAGUUGUAAAAUGUUGGGAUUAGCACUGACACUUCAUAUUGAAAAGAACGUAUUAGAUGUCUGACACGUGUUGGUAUGACACAAACCUAUAAUACAUAGGUACGAUACCCGGUACGGGGACGAUACCUAGUACGAGUACGUUGAUCUAAAACAUCAAGAAAAAGAUUUUCCAAGUGAGUUAAUACAAUUGUUGUUGUAAAAACAUGGGUUAGAAAAAAAAAUCAAUUCUAAUAAAAAAUAGUAGUAUAAUACUAUUCGUAAUUGAAUCACGUGUUUAACCACACUUCUAUCAUCAUGUUUCAGAGAUUUACAUUUUUUGACAAUUUCUUUCAGAGUUUUGACAUACUAAACAACAAAGACACGGUAUUCCAAAUCCAAUGACUAAACUUACAUACCACCGAGCAUCACUAAUAAGCACACAAAUGCUUUCAUAGUUUCAACAUACUACACAACAACACAUGGUAUCAUCCUCAGUGACAAAGACUCUAAUAUGCAAGGGUUGAUUGACUACAUUAGCGACUCUGACCUGUGUUAGGAAUUGACACAAUAUACAUUUCAAAUAUCAAUCAUUGAUUUCCUCACUCUACUCAUUUUAGAGGCGCCAAAUCAGAAGUAAAUUGUAUUCAAUAUGUUUUUUGAAUUUUUACAAAUUCAUAAUAAAGGUAAUCAGAUAUGCAGUACAAUGUGUUCGAGCUUUGAAUAGGAAUUCGGUGAAUUGGGUAAAGAUAAAAAAGAGCUAACACUAUGUUUAUGUUGCUGCUGUCACAUCUUUUUGCGAAACUAAAGUUUCAGCAUGUUUAGUGGUUGAUGAAAUAAUUCAGACAUGAAGUCAUGUUUAGUAGUUUUCAGCCUAUGUACUUUGAGUCAAAGCUUGCUGCAUCAAACUGUAACAGAUUUCUUGCCUGUUUUUCAUGAUUUGUAUUGCAAUUUUAUCCAUUUGAUUGGUGUUUGUUUUUGCUUCUCUUUGGCACCAUAUUGUUACUUCAAAUGAAUGUAAUAACAUAUGUUUGUGUUUCUGAAGCAUGGGUACUCCAAACAUGGUGGUGAUGUACCCGUACCGGGUACGCACCCGAAUUGGGUACGUGUACGAGUACCUUAUGUACCAAGCCGUACACAUGUUUACUUAGUUGAUUCGUCGUGGUAGAUGCAGCAAAAACGUACAGGCAGUGGAAAAAUAUCAAAAACUAUUUUGCUUUUUUAUUGUACUUCGAUUCUCUCUCUUGCUUUUGAUGAAAACGGUGGAGGUGGACAAAAAAUGUAAAUCUUUGAAACAUGAUGAUAGAAGUGUGGUUAAACACGUGAUUCAAUUAAGAAUAGUAUUAUACUACUAUUUUUUAUUAUAAUUGAUUUUUUUCUAACCCAUGUUUUUACAACAACAAUUGUAUUAACUCACUUGGAAAAUCUAAUACAUUUUUUUUUCAAUAUGAAGUGUCAGUGCUAAUCCCAACAUUUUACAACUGUGUUUACAAAAUGGACAAACAAACCAAAAGAUAGUACCAAAUCACAUCCCUAAUUGAUUAAAAUUUUCAACUAAAACUAAAAAAAACAAUAGGGUAACAAUCAUUUUGAUCCCUGAAUGUAUAACGAGUAGCCACAAUGAUGAUUACCCAGAAAAAACAACAAAACAAACAUAAUAACAUAGAUUAGAAAAAGCAAAAGUGUCACCGUUAAAGGGAGAAAAGUGAAUCCUUUGCUGACAGAAUAACUUUUUAUUGGAUCAGGCAACCAUUUUCAAAGGUCAUAGGCAUUCUCAUAUGUAGUUAUUUUGAUUGUAUUAUCUUUAUUUCAUCAUAUAAAAGAAUCUUGUUUUCCGUAAAAAAAAAAAACUUUAAUUAUGUCACAUUUUAAUCUAAAGACACUUAAAUGAGAUAAUAAAAUCUUGAUAAUGCCAACAACUUUAACUUUGGUUGGUAUAGAGAUUUCCUUUUGGUUUCGAUUCAAACGCAAUCGUCAUAUGGUUACAAAUUCACUUUCUUAUGGUUAGAAAUUCACUUUUAUUAAGUAAAUAAAUAAGAUAUCUGAGAUUCAACCUUCGACUUUAACUAUAACAUACAAUAUCCCUAUCAACUAAGUGGAGACAACUUAAUUGUUUAAUUUGAAGUCCAGAUCCUCUCCAUUUAGGGAGGAAAUUGCAAUGUCAAUUUCUAUUCAUAAAAACGGAAAAUAAGAUAUCAAUGGCUCUGAUUCAUUCAAAGAUUUAAUUUAAUUUUUUUAAUUAAAAAAACACAGAAAACCACGCCCCUUCCUCUCGACCACAGCUCAUCAUACUGCCGCUAUAGUUGUGUUACGUCACUGUUACUACUUGUAUUCGUGUUGCCAUCGCUAUUCUAAUUCGUAAUCGUUUCGCCGUCAUAUGGCAAUGAGUCUGUUCAUCCAUCCCCUAAAAGAAAUUGGUCUAUUUAUGUCUCCGAGGUCCAAUUCAAAUUGGAAAGAUGCCCAACAACUCAGUAACAGAGGAGGAGCAAAUGCACAGUACCGACGGUGAAAGUUGAAGAAGAAGGGUGUGUUGCUGAAAACGAGUAAGGAAAUAUUAUUAUUUUUUAUUUCUGAAAUAAAUAAUUGAUAUGCGUAUUUGUUAGAAGUAAAUCACAGUCAUUGAUAUCUUAUUUUUCCACAAUUCAUGUUUUUUUUUUUUUAUGAAUAGAAAUUGAGAUUGCAAUUUCCUCCCUAAAUGGAGAGGAUCUGCACUCGUGAGUUGUGAUUAAAAAAAUAAAAAAAUUCACAAUUCUCAACAAGAAUAAUUGAAAAGAAAAUAGAAAAAGUGCAAAAUAAUCUAAUCCAUAAGCUCUUUUCAUUUUCAAUAUCAAUUUCUUUCUCUCUCUAAUGUGGACGCAGCAGCAACUUGUACAACGAGUGCCACCCUUGAAACUCUUCCACUCAUUUCAACCUUCAAAUCAUGCAAAAAUUCAAUCUUUAUCAAAAUUAAAUUCGACCCAAAAUCUAAAAACCGCAUUAACUUUGGAAGAACUUCCUCCAAACGCGCUUAGGAAUGGCUCGUAUUGGCAUUGCUCUCAGCAAAUGAUUCACUU
rnacentral:lncRNA from 1 species